CAACUUUAUCAGUCAAGAACAACAAACUGUCAACCCAAGAAAGAUCUGGGUUUCUUCAAGAUCCUUCCUUCAAGAUAGGAGCAGCUUUAAAAAUGUACUUAAUUCAGCCCACCAUGUCACAAUUGCUACAUUUCUAUUCUGGGCCAUUGGCAGUCUUCAGAAGUAAUUUCAUCUUAAUGAUCUUGAGAUCAAAUGUCAUCUUGGCAGUUCACAUUCAUAUACCAGAAAAUUCUUAGGUAUGUCACAUUAAACAGCAUUGGCCGAUGUGAAAUGUACAGGAAAUAUCAGUUCUCAUGGCAGCAGUUGUCAAGUUUUCAUUUUUUUUAUUUGAAAGUCCAGGCCUCCAGUCAGGUGCUGAUGGUAUCAGAGGAACAUUGAGGACUUUACUUUGUUUUGAAAAAACAAAAUGUAUUUUUUUCAUAUUUUUCCUUUGUAAUAUUUUUGUAAAAAAAUAAAAAUAUAGAAAGUUUGCAUUUUAAUGAUGCUGUCUUAAUUAAUUAUAAAUGUGCUGGCAUAAGGCAAAGGGUAAUUAUGAAUAUUUUAAAAGAUUAAAUAACAAAAGUACAGUUAAGUGAUUCCCUUUAUUUCACUUAGAUCAUCCUGAGGAGGAGUUCGUUGAUCUUCUCCUCCCUGUUGCCAAAGUCACCACCUUCUACGUAGUGAGUGGUCUUCUUUCUCCAUCCACCAGUUGGGUUGUUCAGCUGGAAGGAAACCACAUGCCAUUAACACCUCUCUCAAAGAAUAAUAUGCCACAACAUAUGAAAUUCAUAAUGAUAAAACUACUGCUGCAAUUUGACAUUAUCCCAUUCUGUAAUUGAACAAAACAAUGACCGUUGUCUUUAUGUUUAACAUGUACUUCACGUUGUCAUCCCUUUCCCAAUUUUAAAACUAUUAACUGUU